UGGAUGCUUAUUUCCAUCCUUCCUCUUAUAUCGGCCAUUUUCGACGUCUUAAAUGUCCGAGGUACUACGAACGCUAUUAAUCCGAUCGCCGGAAAAUCGGAACACCUCGUGGAAGUUCCAAACAGAAUUCUACGAAACGGGAUGGAACAGUUCCUUUUGCAUGCGAUCGGACUUCUAGCGCUGACGACUUAUUUGGAUGAGACUUGUAUGUCUGCUAUCCCAGUUCUUGUUUCAAUGUUUUUCGUUGGCCGUGUAUUUUAUUCUUUAGGCUUUAAAUCUUCAGAGAGAAAUCGAGGAUUCGGAUUUUUCAUCACCUUCCUUCCAACACUCAUAACUUACGGUUAUUGUUUGUACAAGUUUGCUACAACCUAUUUACUGUAAUAUCAUAAUUCAGUUCUGUAUAAGUCAUGUUCAUGUUUAAACUAGACGAAAUUUUAGUUUAAAAAAAAUUAGCGGCGGUAUGUAGAUAUCAGAAUUGCGCUAAAAUUAUGUUAACAUUACAAUAAAGGAUACAUUACAACC
rnacentral:misc_RNA from 1 species